GGGACAAAUCUUGCUUCUCUUCCAACCCUUGUUUGAGAGGGGUUGGGGAGGUGUGCUGUGAGCCCUUCUCUGAACCAUUUUGUGGGUUCCACACAUAAGCAAAUGGCAAAGCAUGAGAGGUGGGACAAAUUCACGUUAACGUGGCAUCUCUUGCUGAUGACUAGAGGGUCUCAGGCAGAGCAGCUAAGCUGAAAGUGCCCUGUAGGUGCAAAGGGGAAGAGGGUGAGGUUUGAGGAGGAAGCGGUUGCCUGUCCAACCUCACCUGCUGAGCUAUUUAAGGAAGGUGAUGCAGAAGGCCGUCCUGUGGUUUCCCUGUGUGGUCUCCCCCCUGCCUCUGAGGCCAGCUCAGCAGAUCUGACCUGCCUGGGGCAAGCCAGGUGAUUCAGGGUUUGAUCAGAAGUCUAGUGAUAGCAAACGCCACAGACACCUUCUCUCAUUACUUUGGCCAAGGUCACAGAUGGCUGUGACAACUUGAUGUCAUUACUCAGGUGAGCACUGAAAACACAGGGGCUGUCUUUAUAAUUGACUUUAGUCCAGCAUCAGACAAAGACCAGUUCUAUGGAGCAUUGUACAGCUCAACCUAUGCUGUCAUUGUACCACCAGAGGGCGCAGUAGCCCUCUGUGGGCCACCUGGCACAUUAAAAGGUUUUCUCCUCAGGCAAUGGAUAAGAGAUGAGAUAUGAAAGCUUUGCUUUCUGGGAAUGGAUGGGAACAGACAAGAGAAGAGAAUCUGGCGAGGUGCCUGCACGUACUUUAGUGAGUUUAUCAAAAUUAACAACAGAAAUGAUACUGGAUUUUGAACAAGCAGACAUAGGAGAAUAUUUGUUUUAAAACGCAGCUAACAGAUUUCUUGUUGAAGAAACAUUCUUACAGGGGUAAUGUCUCAAUCAGGGGUCAAUUUUAUGAACAACAUGUAGAAAAUGGGUAUUCAAGAAUGUCGAAGAUUGCUCUGUAAAUAACUUCCCAGAAGACCACCCUAUAUCUAUUAAGCCUGAGGGCGGGGGAUCCCGAGCACACUUUGGGCAGAAAUAAGUCAUGAUCAUUGAGGACAGGCUGCCUGCCCACCUGCCCACCUGCCCACCUGCCCACCUGCCCACCUGCCCACCUGCCCACCUGCCCCCCCUACCCCAUAGACUCUAACAUAAGCUAGCUAGUGUUGUGUAGAUGGGAUUUACAUAAGUGAAAGUGGCAGCGUAGCUGGGGGCAGACACUUGAGUUGCAUAAGAUAGUAAAGCGGAAGUAGUAUGUUAUCAUUCUUGGGAGUGUCUGGAAGCUGUGGUAGGAUAAACGCAUCUGAUAAACGCUGUGGAGACUUAGCCCAACACAAGAUUCAGUGUUUGUAAGAGUCCGCCUCACAAGCUAAUGAAGCAGGUGUAUGCCUACUAGAGCUCUGUGGCAAAGUUCCCUUACUCUCCGGUGAGUCAGUAGCUAUAAAAAUAAUAGUCACCACAAAGCACUGUCACCUCACAUUGAUACAGGUGAUGCCACUCUGGAAGGUCCUCAGGGCAGCCAGGCCUGCAUGCCUUCAAAUUAUUGGCUGCAUUCUUGUAUUGCAACCAUCUUCAAUUGAGAGCUCAGCUUUGGGAGAAAACACACCAUGGAGGGAGAGGUGUGGCAGGUGUGGGUCGAGCAUCCCAGCUCUCCUGUGCCUCCUGCAGCCGUAGUGUUUCAUUCCACACGGCACCGAGCCCCAACUCCUGUCCUGUGGUAUGUGUCAAAUGUGUUUUAUUGGGCUGCUGCCAACCAUCUUGAACUGUCAUGCAGAGAAUUCUUGCAGGAAUCAAUAAGUUCUGUCUCUAACCAUGUUGUGAGAACCGAAUCGCCAUAGCUGGAGCAGUGUAACAGAAAGCCUUUGUUCCUGGGGGUGGGGGAGACUGACUAUGUGGUCUUAACAGCCUUUUGUACAAAUACCUUCAAAUCAAACGAUGUCUCUAUCCAGUGCUUGCCCUCAGAGUGUCUUUAAAUGCACCAAGUGUACAAUAAAAGCAUUGAAGUCAAUACCCAGG
rnacentral:lncRNA from 1 species